CCUGGUGGCUCAGAGGGUAAAGCGUCUGCCUGCAAUGUGGGAGACCUGGGUUUGAAUCCCAGGUCAGGA
rnacentral:tRNA from 1 species